AUGAAUGAGAAAAGUGAGCCAAGAGGGCUGGGAAAAACACAAUGUAGUCUCUUGUUCCACCAAGGAGAAGGGCCUCUCGUGCAAAGUAACAGCCGGUGUCCUUCUUGGUUGUGUGUGUGUGUGUGUAGAGUUUCUCCAUGGUGUGUGUUCAUGAGAGAUGAGAGGAAGAAGAACGGCGCUGCGAGGAGGCGGCGCCAACAUUUGGUAUUCAGAGCCACAAGGUUCGAGGGGCGGCCGUGGCGCGCGGUGGCGUCCGCGGCGGACGGGGCAUGCGCGGCCGACAUGGAGGCAUCGGCUGCGGCGCGCGGCGAGCGCGUGGCGGAGGCGGCGGGCGGUGACGUCGUACGUGCGGCGACCGCGGAGGCCGCCGAGGCGCUGCGUGGUGGCGCAGCGGUGCAACACGGUGUGGCGGCGUGGAGGCACUGCAUGGCGGCAUGGAGGCCGCGGCGGUGCAGGGCAAUAAGAUGCGGCGGCGAGCCGGACGCGACCGGUGCGUGUUAUGGGCGCGCACUGGACGUGUCGAGCGCGUCGGGACCGCGGGAGUGGACCGCGUCGAGGCGCUGGACCUGGUUGCGCAGACCGCGUACGUGCGCGGCGGGAGCGCGGGCUGGGAGCGCGGGGACGUGGGGAGUGUGCGCGAAGGGCACGGCGGUCGCGGAGACGAGGAGGUCGCGAAGGACCUGCGUGGUGGCGCAUAGGUCGCGACGGCUCGGGGCAACGACCGUGGAAGGUGCGUGGCACGUAGGCGCGGCGUGGUGGCUGCCAUGGCGGACGCGGAGGCGGCACGUGGUGAGCGUCUGGUGCUGUCGGGCUCGUCGGGCGCGUCGAAUGCGCGCGGGACGUGCGGGACGCACUGCUGCGGUCGGGCUCGUCGGGCACGUCGGAUGCGUGCGGGACGUGCGGGACGCAGAGGGACGCCAGGCGUGUGUCGCCGGCGGAGGAGCUCGGCGUAUGUCGCCGGGGUCGUGA
rnacentral:rRNA from 1 species